AUUAUACACGUCGGAGGUUACUACUCUUGGGCUAUCUACUUCUACCCAGACGGCAAGAGUCCGGAGCCGGAGGAUAAUACGUCUUACGUCUCUCUGUUCAUUGCCCUCGCGAGCGAGGGAACCGAUGUGAGGGCUUUGUUCGAGCUCACGCUUGUGGAUCAGAGUGGUAAUGGGAAGCACAAGGUUCAUAGCCAUUUCGAAAGAGCACUCGAGAAAGGACCUUAUACUCUCAAGUAUCGUGGAAGUGUGUGGGGAUACAAGCGGUUUUUCAGGAGGUCUGGUUUAGAGUCAUCAGACUAUCUCAAGGACAAUAGUCGCUUGGUUCGUUGCCGUGUGGGUGUGGUGAAGUCGUGCACGGAGGGACCGAGGGAUUACAAUAUCUCUGUACCAGUUUCCAACUUGCGCCAACAGUUGGGGAAGCUUUUGGAAAGUGGAAAAAAUGUUGUGAUGUUACUUUUGUAGUCGAUGGAGAAACAUUCUAUGCGCACAAACUGGUUCUUGCAACGCGUUCUCCAGUUUUCAAGGCGCAGCUUUUUGGCCCGUUAAGAGACAGGAAUACCGAUCGUAUAAAGAUAGAUGACAUGGAGUCCCCCAUUUUUAAGGUUUUGCUCCAUUUUAUCUACUGGGACGAAUUGCCUGAUAUGCAAGAGUUAAUAGGCACCGACUCUAAAUCAGCUUCUACUCUUGUGGCUCAGGCGCUCAGCAUCUGCUUGCAGCGGCAGACCGGUAUGCUCUUGAGCGGCUUAAAGCGAUCUGCGAGUCAAAACUUUGCGAAGGAAUCACCAUAAACACGGUUGCAACGACCUUGGCCCUAGCGGAGCAGCAUCACUGUUUCCAGUUAAAAGCAGUCUGUCUCAAAUUCGUUGCCUUGCCAGAGAACCUGAAAGCUGUGAUGCAAACAGAUGGGUUUGAUUAUCUGAAAAGAAGUUGUCCAUCUCUACUAACUGAGCUAUUGGAGUAUGUGGCGAGGCUUAGUGAACACUCUGUUAUUGCAUCGGGGCAUCGAAAAGAGGUAGUUGCUGAUGGUUGUGAUGUCAAUGGAACAAGAGUGAAGCAACGGUUGCAUUGAGCAGAUUUGUGCAUUGUAUCGUCUCUAAUGGCUGAUCUGAAUCAAUCUGAUCCAGCAAGUACACUUGUCUUUUUCAGUGCUUUCUAUUAAAAUCAAAGAUCCAAUGGAAUUUGGUGAUUAAUCUUGGUCCAUUUAUAUACUAGUUAAGCUUAACUUGCAAUUGGAGAGCCUAGAUGUCCACACAUAUAAAGCAUAUAAAGGUUUUUAAUUGGCAA